GAUGAACGCUGGCGGCAUGCCUAACACAUGCAAGUCGAACGGGAAGACGUGUUUCCCGUGGCGGUCGGGUGAGCAACGCGCAAGAACCUGCCCUUGGGAGGGGAACAACAGCUGGAAACGGCUGCUAAUACCCCGUAGGCCGAGGAGCAAAAGAUAUAAUCCACCGGAGGAGGCGCUCGCGUCUGACUAGUUAGUUGGUGCGUCAAGAGCUUACCAAGCCGCUGAUCAGUAGCUGAUCCGAGAGGAUGAUCGGCCACACUGGGAGAGAGACACGGUCCAGACUGCUACUGGAAGCCGGAGUAGGGUACUUUGGGCGAUAGGCGUGAGGAUGAUGCAGCAAUGGGGGGUGGGUGAACAAGGCAAUGGGGCGUGGAAGUAGUAUUAUUACGGAAGAAGAACUGCUUUUCCAGGAGAAGAAGCAAUGACGGUACCUGAGGAAUAAGCAUCGGCUAACUCCGUG
rnacentral:rRNA from 1 species